rnacentral:rRNA from 1 species
UCAACGCCGGACAACUCACCGGGGGCGACAGCAAUAUGUAGGUCAAGCUAAAGACUUUACCUGAAUCGCUGAGAGGAGGUGCAUGGCCGUCGUCAGUUCGUACUGUGAAGCAUCCUGUUAAGUCAGGCAACGAGCGAGACCCGUGCCCACUGUUGCCAGCAUAUCCUUUUUGGAUGAUGGGUACUCUGUGGGGACCGCCGAUGCUAAAUCGGAGGAAGGUGCGGGCUACGGUAGGUCAGUAUGCCCCGAAUCUCCCGGGCUACACGCGGGCUACAAUGGUUGGGACAAUGGGCUCCUACACUGAAAAGUGACGGUAAUCUCAUAAACCCAGCCGUAGUUCGAAUUGAGGGCUGAAACCCGCCCUCAUGAAGCUGGAAUCCGUAGUAAUCGCGUUUCAAUAUAGCGCGGUGAAUACGUCCCUGCUCCUUGCACACACCGCCCGUCAAACCACCCGAGUGAGGUAUGGGUGAGGGCGCGGACUUUAGUGCUGCGUUCGAACCUAAAUUUCGCAAGGGGGGUU